CAGUAGCCGCGGUAAUACGAAGGGUGCAAGCGUUAAUCGGAAUUACUGGGCGUAAAGCGUGCGUAGGCGGUUUGUUAAGUCUGCUGUGAAAUCCCCGGGCUCAACCUGGGAAUGGCAGUGGAUACUGGCAAGCUAGAGUGUGUCAGAGGAUGAUGGAAUUCCCGGUGUAGCGGUGAAAUGCGUAGAGAUCGGGAGGAACAUCAGUGGCGAAGGCGGCCAUCUGGGACAACACUGACGCUGAGGCACGAAAGCGUGGGGAGCAAACAGGAUUAGAUACCCCAGUAGUCCCUGUCUCUUAUAC
rnacentral:rRNA from 1 species